CAGUAGCCGCGGGAAUACGUAGGUGGCAAGCGUUGUCCGGAAUUAUUGGGCGUAAAGGGCUCGCAGGCGGUUUCUUAAGUCUGAUGUGAAAGCCCCCGGCCCAACCGGGGAGGGUCAUUGGAAACUGGGAAACUUGAGUGCAGAAGAGGAGAGUGGAAUUCCACGUGUAGCGGUGAAAUGCGUAGAGAUGUGGAGGAACACCAGUGGCGAAGGCGACUCUCUGGUCUGUAACUGACGCUGAGGAGCGAAAGCGUGGGGAGCGAACAGGAUUAGAUACCCCCGUAGUCCCUGUCUCUUAUAC
rnacentral:rRNA from 1 species